GCUUGAAAUCUCUUGAGUAUGAAAAAGUACAGUUGCCUUCCAAGCAGAAAGAUUAAGAAAACUUAAAAGA
rnacentral:tRNA from 1 species